rnacentral:rRNA from 1 species
UUAUGGCUCAGGAUGAACGCUGGCGGCGUGCCUAAUACAUGCAAGUCGAACGAGGUAGCAAUACCGAGUGGCGAACGGGUGAGUAACACGUAGGUAACCUGCCCUUAAGCUUGGGAUACCCAGAGGAAACUUGGCUAAUACCGGAUAACAACAGAGAAGGCAUCUUCUUUGCUUGAAAGGCCCCUUCAAGGGUCACUUAAGGAUGGACCUGCGGCGCAUUAGCUAGUUGGUGAGAUAACAGCCCACCAAGGCGAGGAUGCGUAGCCGAACUGAGAGGUUGAUCGGCCACAUUGGAACUGAGACACGGUCCAAACUCCUACGGGAGGCAGCAGUAAGGAGUUUUCGGCAAUGGGGGAAACCCUGACCGAGCAACGCCGCGUGAGCGAUGACGGUCCUUUGGAAUUGUAAAGCUCUGUUGUAAGCCAUGAAUGACAGCUUGAGGAAAUGCAAGUUGUUUGACGACAGCUUACCAGAAAGCCACGGCUAACUACGUGCCAGCCGCCGC